UUAUAGAUUAAAGUCUAAAGUUAUUAUGUAAAUAUCUCCACAUAAAAGAGUGUUCUACAUAGUGUCCCAUGCCAGAGCAAACUGUAGCCCCGAACCAUUGCCUGGCCUGUGCCCAUAGGCUCCUGGCACUGAAGUGGGUUGCACAGUG
rnacentral:snoRNA from 1 species